GCAACAACAGCCCCACCCCACCCCACCUCAGGCCUCUUGGCUAUGCAGCUACUUGGUUCAAUACUACAGAGGCACAGGGGGACAUGAAGGCCAUUGUCUUGAGAUGCAGAAGUGAACAAAAGAGAGAAGGUGUCUCUCAGACUCCCUGAUGAAAACUGAAGCCCACUGGAAAAGUGAAGAGAAUCUCUAGAAUAAAGGCAAACCAGACCACCGUGCUUGGGAUCCAACUCAGGACCUUGCGCUUGCGAGGAAGGCGGCAGAACCACUGAGCUACACCCCCAGCCCUGUGAUAUAUCUUUUAAACAUUCAUUGUACCAUUUGAUAACACCUCAUAUGCAGCAUUGUUACCUUAAUUUGUAUAUUAACCAGUGUUAAUAAACAGUAUGAGUUCAUACCCUUUUUC
ensembl:lncRNA